CCGGUUGUUUUUUCGCACACUGUAUUUUUCAGGUUGCGACAGCUGGCGACUCUGCUGGGGACUUUAAGAAGUUGACCUCUUGCUGGUCCAUCUUCCCUAAGCGAGUCCCUCCUAGCUUUUGUAGUUUGUUUGUUUAUUGGGUGUUCAUGCUUUUGUACAGUUAUUUAUUUACCUGCUUUACCUUAUUACAUUGUGUACAUAUCAUUGUUGUAUCUGUUGGCUGGCUAUGGCUGCUUGGUG
rnacentral:lncRNA from 1 species